GGGCCCGCACAAGCAGUGGAUUAUGUGGAUUAAUUCGACGCAACGCGAAGAACCUUACCGGGGCUUGACAUCCUACUAACGAAGCAGAGAUGCAUUAGGUGCCCUUCGGGGAAAGUAGAGACAGGUGGUGCAUGGUUGUCGUCAGCUCGUGUCGUGAGAUGUUGGGUUAAGUCCCGCAACGAGCGCAACCCCUAUUGUUAGUUGCUACGCGAGAGCACUCUAACGAGACUGCCGUUGACAAAACGGAGGAAGGUGGGGACGACGUCAAAUCAUCAUGCCCCUUAUGUCCCGGGCUUCACACGUAAUACAAUGGCGCAUUAACAAAGGGAAGCGAAGGCGCGAGCCGGAGCAAAACCUCAAAAGGCGUCUCAAGUUCGGAUUGCAGGCUGCAACUCGCCUGCAUGAAGUCGGAAUUGCUAGUAAUCGCGGAUCAGCAUGCCG
rnacentral:rRNA from 1 species